rnacentral:rRNA from 1 species
ACAGCUGAGUAUGACGUAGAAAUGCCACAGGGCUCCUCUUGUCUGUGCGACUCUUCCACUGGAUGGAGCGUCGAUAUUCUCGAACGACGAGUUGAUACUUACCUCUCGGUUCGACACUAGACCUACAUCCAGUCGGAUAAGCAACGCACUUAGUCAGUAAAAUGCCUCGCCCGCGUAAUAUAGUAGCGUACCAGAAAUAACCCCCCCACGUCUAUUUGCCAGCAGCGUCGACUUAUAUGGAGCCGCCCCAUCAUGCAUAGAUAUCUUCUGUGCUAGCCGCCUCCGUGCGCUAGUGUAUAGCAUUGGUUAGAUCCACUCCCAUAACACACGACUGCCUGUACAUGCCCGGGCCCGUAUUCACUGCAGCGUGCUGAUAUUGGUACUAGCGAUUCCAACUGCAUGCACUCGAGACGCAGAGCGCAAUCCCGAACCGAGAAGGCUCUUUCCAGAUUAGCCCGACCUCGCGGACUCGGGUUUAAUAGAUGUUUUUUUUCAGCUCAGAACGAACGCUGGCGGCAGGCUUAACACAUGCAAGUCGAGCGCCCCGCAAGGGGAGCGGCAGACGGGUGAGUAACGCGUGGGAAUCUACCCAUCCCUACGGAACAACUCCGGGAAACUUGUGCUAAUACCGUAUAAGCCCUUCGGGGGAAAGAUUUAUCGGGGAUGGAUGAGCCCGCGUUGGAUUAGCUAGUUGGUGGGGUAAAGGCCUACCAAGGCGACGAUCCAUAGCUGGUCUGAGAGGAUGAUCAGCCACAUUGGGACUGAGACACGGCCCAAACUCCUACGGGAGGCAGCAGUGGGGAAUAUUGGACAAUGGGCGCAAGCCUGAUCCAGCCAUGCCGCGUGAGUGAUGAAGGCCUUAGGGUUGUAAAGCUCUUUCACCGGAGAAGAUAAUGACGGUAUCCGGAGAAGAAGCCCCGGCUAACUUCGUGCCAGCAGCCGCGGUAAUACGAAGGGGGCUAGCGUUGUUCGGAAUUACUGGGCGUAAAGCGCACGUAGGCGGAUAUUUAAGUCAGGGGUGAAAUCCCAGAGCUCAACCCCGGAACUGCCUUUGAUACUGGGUAUCUUGAGUAUGGAAGAGGUAAGUGGAAUUGCGAGUGUAGAGGUGAAAUUCGUAGAUAUUCGCAGGAACACCAGUGGCGAAGGCGGCUCACUGGUCCAUUACUGACGCUGAGUGCGAACGAAUUAA